AUUGAACGCUGGCGGCAGGCCUAACACAUGCAAGUCGAGCGGAGCGGCGGACGGGUGCGUCAUGCCUAGGAAUCUGCCUGGUAGUGGGGGAUAACGUCCGGAAACGGGCGCUCAUACCGCAUACUAACAGAUGAGCAUAGGUCGGAUUAGCUAGGUGGGGGGGUAAAGGCCUACCAAGGCGACGAUCCGUAACGGGUCUGAGAGGCUGAUCAGUCACCCUGAAACUGAGACACGGUCCAUACUCCUCCGGGAUGCAGCAGUGGGGAAUAUUGGACAAUGGGCGAAAGCCUGAUCCAGCCAUGCCGCGUGUGUGAAGAAGGUCUUCGGAUUGUAAAGCACUUUAAGUUGUGAGGCGUUACCAACAGAAUAAGCACCGGCUAACUUCGUGCCAGCAGCCGCGGUAAUAC
rnacentral:rRNA from 1 species